UACGGAGGGUGCAAGCGUUAUCCGGAUUCAUUGGGGUUAAAGGGCGCGUAGGCGGGUAGGUAAGUCAGUGGUGAAAUCUUCGAGCUUAACUCGGAAACUGCCGUUGAUACUAUCUAUCUUGAAUACCGUGGAGGUGAGCGGAAUAUGUCAUGUAGCGGUGAAAUGCUUAGAUAUGACAUAGAACACCAAUUGCGAAGGCAGCUCGCUACACGAAUAUUGACUCUGAGGCACGAAAGCGUGGGGAUCAAACAGG
rnacentral:rRNA from 1 species